AAUCAACGCUGGCGGCGUGCCUCAGACAUGCAAGUCGAACGAUUAAGACUUCCUUCGGGAAGUGCAUAAAGUGGCGCACGGGUGAGUAACACGUAAGUAAUCUACCCUCGAGUGGGGAAUAACGUUCGGAAACGGACGCUAAUACCGCAUGAUGCAGCGGCAUCGCAAGAUGACAGUUGUUAAAGGAGUAAUUCGCUUGAGGAGGAGCUUGCGGCAGAUUAGCUAGUUGGUAAGGUAACGGCUUACCAAGGCUACGAUCUGUAUCCGGUCUAAGAGGACGGUCGGACACACUGACACUGAAUAACGGGUCAGACUCCUACGGGAGGCAGCAGUCGGGAAUUUUGGGCAAUGGGCGAAAGCCUGACCCAGCAACGCCGCGUGAAGGAUGAAGUAUUUCGGUAUGUAAACUUCGAAAGAAUGGGAAGAAUAAAUGACGGUACCAUUUAUAAGCUCCGGCUAACUACGUGCCAGCAGCCGCAGUAACAC
rnacentral:rRNA from 1 species